AGCGAACGCUGGCGGCAGGCUUAAUACAUGCAAGUCGAGCGGGCACUCUCGGGUGUUAGCGGCGGACGGGUGAGUAACGAGUGGGAACGUGCCCUCUGGUUCGGAAUAUAUCAGGGAAACUUGAGCUAAUAACGGAUACGCUCUUUUGGGGAAAGGCUUGCAGCCGGAGGGUCGGCUAGUGUCUGAUUAGCUUGCUGGUGAGGUAACGGCACACCAAGGCGACGUUCAGUAGCUGGGAUGAGAGGAUGAGCAGCCACACUGGGGCUGAGACGCGGCCCAGACUCCUACGGAAUGCGGCAGUGCGUAAUAUAGCACAAUCGGCUCAAGCCUGAUCCAGCCAUGCCCCGUAAGUGAUGAAGUCCUUAGGGAUGUAAAGCUCUUUUAUCCGGGACGAUAAUGACGGUACCGGAUGAAUAAGCCCCGGCUAACUUCGUG
rnacentral:rRNA from 1 species